ACUUAUAAGACAAUCUUAAGUAAAUAUUACUAUGACUUUAGUACAGUCGUUAAAAAAAAGAUGACCUUCUAUAACCGAACAGAGAAAGUUUCCGACCGCACGCUUUGCCCUUACUCCAGGGCAAAUAAAAUUUAAAUAUCCUAACGUAGCGUUCUCAGUCGAUUUGUUAAUAAUCGAUUCCAAUCGAUUAUAAUCGACUCCAAUCGAUUAUAAUCGACUAAUUAAUCAUUCGAUUAUAGCAAUUAUCCGAUUAUAUUAUAGCAAAAUUAUUCAAUCGACGCAUAAUCGAUUAUCUUUUUUUCUAAAUAUUAAUCCUUCGAUUGGAAGAAAACAAUCGAUUAAUCGACCGAUUUUCUAAAAUGUUAUUUUUCUUGUAAAAUACGUUUUUUUCUCUAAGAGCCACUAUAUUCUAUAAAAAAAGUAGAAAAAACUACUUUCAAGGUAUCAGCAUAAUAGAGGCUAUUCAUCUCGCGGUUUCGCGAGUCAAUUGUUUCGAUGUCCAUCAAUGUUGUUGGUUGUUUUGGUUGUCUGUAUCGGCUGAAACUGUGUUUUCCCAAUACAAAGUGGAUUUUGCGAAUCAGACAUGGCAAACGGAGUAAAACAGGUAUUGCCAGAUCAACGUUAUUUCCAGAAAAACGCCUUAAAUUUUGGACAUGGCAAACGGAGUAAAACAGGUAUUGCCAGAUCAACGUUAUUUCCAGAAAAACGCCCCCUGGCAACAAAAACAAAGGAAAAAUGAUCAAAAAACUAUUUUGAUAGUAUCUCCACUUCUACUUUAUAAAAUAAAUAAAAAUACAGCACUUCUGAAAGGGAAAUUAAUUUACUUUUCACCAGUGCAUUAUUUAAUAAAUAAAAUUAAGCCGUUGCAGAGAAAAACGUUGUUCCAUUAUACCCCUGGCUCUGUUACGUUUAACCAAAUUUUUUUUGUUUUUCGGCAUUUUUUCAUGUUGGCAUUUCAUCACAUAACUAUUAAAUGAAUCAACGGAAAAAAUCAAAAAAAUUACCAAAUGUAAAUAAAUGCCAAGGAAUCACCCCUA